CCUUUCGUAGCUUAGUCCUCAGAACAUUGGCCCGUAAAGCUAAAGGUUCCGGGUUCGUUUCCCGGCGAAUGUG
rnacentral:tRNA from 1 species